rnacentral:tRNA from 1 species
GCGGGCGUGGUGGAAUGGUAGACACAGGAGACUUAAAAUCUCCAGGCAGCGAUGCCGUGCCGGUUCGAAUCCGGCCGCCCGUACCA